rnacentral:rRNA from 1 species
AUGCCGAUGUACGGCACGGCUGCCGCAGAUGAUGGACGGUCUAAGCCAUGGCCGUUCAGUGCAGAGCAGCCCAUGGCCCUGCUUGCUGCGGCCGGUGGCCACCAGACCACCCCGAUGUCAUUGCACGGCAUGGCCACCGCAGAUGCUGGACCGUCUAAGCUGUCGCCGUUCAGUGUCCAGCAGCUCAUGCCCCUGUGCGCUGAUGCUGGUGGCCACCAGGCCACGCAGAUGCCAUUGCACGGCGUGGAUGCCGCAGAUGCUGGAUGGUCUAAGCCGUUGCCGUUCAGUGCCGAGCAGCCCAUGGCCCUGCGCUCUGCAGCCGGUGACCACCAGGCCACGCCGAUGCCAUUGCACGGAGCGGCUGCGGCUGCAACUGAUGCUGGACGGUCUAAGCCGUGUCCGUUAAGCGCCGAGAAGCUCAUGUCUCUACAGAAUGCAGAGUUUGAUGAGCAUAAACUGCCUGACUCCAAUAAGGCUGUUCCGCCGAGUAAGACGUCGCUUGCGGAGAAGUCGGAAUUAACAGGAAUAAGCAUUCCAGUUAAGAAGCUCAAACCACCCAAGAAAAGGAACUGCACCGUCUGCCAGGUGCAAGCGACCUGUGAGAAGAACUUACAGAUGCAUUAUGCUGGGCAGAAGCACUUGGCAAAUGUAGCAACACUGGGCCCAGGAACUAAGCCAAGUGAUCAGAAGGCGAAAGCACCAGUAGCAGAACCUUCUCUUGGCACAGAGCAGAAGAAAACACCCUCGAUAAAUUGGAGUUGCAGUACCUGCCACGCCCGCGGUACAUCCAAAUCGACAUUUGAUGCGCACCUCCAAGGCAAAAGACACCAGCAGAACAUAGCAGAAGCAUCCGUAAAAGGCGAUGGCGAUGGCAAUGGCAAUGGCGCACCGAAGAACGCCGCCGCGGCGGGGGAAGCAAAAUCGGAUGACGACACUAUGCCGAAGCGUUCGGAGAAGCCAUCACCGGCCUGGAGCUGUAGCAUUUGCCAAACUACAUGCACCUGCGAAACAGACUUGAAGAACCACCUGAGGGGCGCCAGACACCGAGAGAAGGUCCAGUCCCUGCUUGAAGAGAGCAAGAACAUGGCAAGGAAUCCUGAGACAAACUUGAAGAAAAACAAUGCACCACAAAUGGUCAAGAACCAAGGACCGCACCCGGCAUGGAACUGCACGAUGUGCCAGGCCAAAUGUUUCUCCAAAUCUCAGUUUGAGAAUCAUUGCAGUGGCAGCAGGCACCAACAGAAUAUCGAGGCGAUACUCGGCAAACGCGAGACCGCGAGAGCGAGCAGCUCGAGGACUGCAAAUGAACCAGCUUCGGACUGCAAGAACGCAAGCUCGGAGAAGGCGGAGAAGAAGGCGACGCUGUACUUCUGCGAGGUCUGCAAUUUGCUGUGUGGCAGCAGUGAGAUGCUGGUAAGCCAUCGUUAUGGGAAGAGGCACCGGGAAAAGCUCAGCACAAGGAAAUGA